UUUUAAUCCAAGUCUGUUGAGGCUUUAUUAUGUGACACAGCAAUGUGAGGGUUAAACAAGGUAACACGGAAUGAUACACUUUGUUCUUCAAACUUAUUUGGCAAAUCAAGGGUACUGGUAGUUUAUAACAAAUAGUAGUGUCUAAGUCAAGUUACACCUCAACUAUACCAGGAAAAAGAAGGACAGGAAAAAAUUAACACACGGUGAAAUUUUACUGUGCACCAACAUUAUAUUUUACACAUCAGGUGGGCCGUUAUGGAAAUUAAGAACUCUGCACAAAAUGUAUUUUUUUUUAAAGUUUUGUAUCACAAAAGGAACAUAUUUUCUUCUAAAAAUGAUUAGAACAUACAGGUAAACAAAAUAAAAAUAAUCCUAUCGCACAAAUUAAAAACAAAACCUGAGAAGUUCUGAUCAGGCUUGCCUAAAAUGACAGUUGAAACCAGAGCCAUUUUAAGAAUGCAAAAUAUGAGAUUAGUUUUGUUCAAAAAUAAUUAUCCAUAAAAGUUAACAGAUGUCUGCACACAGUUACCAUAAGAGGUAAGCCUUUAUGUAUUUUUACUUCAUAAUGUUGAAUUUCUAUUAAAAUCUAUUACAAGAAAGGGAAAGUAACUUUCCAGUAAUAUUCAGAUUUUUUAGUAAUACUGAGCCUACAUUUAUGGGACAUCUCUUUAUAAUGUUUGUCCACUGAAUAUUUUAAGUUAUGUUUGUCAUAGGAAAUUAAAUUUGCUUACCAUUCUUACGAUAAUUUCUUCACUUUCCUCAUUUGGUUAUACUUAUCUCAAUUAGUAUAAAAGACUUGUUGAUUUUUUUAAAAUUAAGGACAUACUAAAUUUCCCCCGAGAUAGUUAUUUUGGAGUAAUAUAGAUAAGCGACUCAGAUUAACUUCAAAACAAACCACCAUACAUUCCAUUCAAUUCAUUUUUGCCAGGCAUUGUUUUAGCCUCUUUAUACAGCCAUGUACAAAAUAGACAAGAUUCCAGCAUCAUGAUGCUUAUUUUCUAUUCUAGGUCACAAAAUAGACAAAAAAAAACCCCAAAACCAAAAAACAACAACAAAAAAAAACCCCAUAACCUCAGAGUGAUAAGCAUUUUCAAGAAAAUUACAUAGGACAGCGGGGUAGAGAAUGACCAGGCCUACCAUAGCUAGGGUGGUCAAGGAAGGCCUCUCUUGAGUUUGAGCUAAGAGCUGAAUGAGCAUGGCAGAGAGAAACAGUUAACGUGGAUACUUUCUUUCUUCCUGGGACCAGACUGUUUCGAAGUAUCCAUACCUCCGUUUACCCUAACAUGUCAUGAACAUAUAAAACCUCUUAUAUUACAGGCAAAAAUCCGAGGUUCACAGAUUAGUAGGGCAAGUAACUGAUUCCGAAGUGUGUACUUGCCUUUAUGAUACUGGAUACACACUGGUGUUAACAAGGACAACGAUGUACGUAGCAGAGGUUCGGAGAUUACUAGACAUGUUGGCUCCAACCUGAGUUUAUCCUGGCAGGCUCUAGGUAGAGAGGCUCAGAAAACCUGCGUCCAUCCUUCCCAUCUUUCCUCCCAUUUCCGAAAGCAUGGUCCUGGCUUCGAGUCUAGAAAAAAGGAAUACGUAGACAGAACUCCCAAAGGACAGCUUUCCUGGCUGACCAAGAUGUAAACAGUUUACGUGAUGAUUUCCAAGCAAGUGCAAAAGUACAGGUGCAAAAGAAAACGGCGGACACCAAAUUUCCCCUGCGGCCACGCCCUCCCCCCUUUGGGGGUCU
ensembl:lncRNA